UUUCACUGCAACAGCAGAAUCGCGGUGUCAACACCUCUAUAUAUUAUCUGGUAACGACAUAGUAAGCCGGAAUUUAUCAUGCCAUGUUUUCUGGCAGAUAACGAAGGGACAGCAUGAAUAUCAUGCCAUCACACUAAGAAUUUUUCGUGUAUACUGUUCACGCUAUGUACCUAAACAAACGACGUUCGACGCAUUAUUUAGGAUGACUAGCUAGGUUGUGUUUUGUUUCUCGGAAUAGAUAAGACGUCACGAAUGACAGGCAUAAAGUAAUUUAUCUUGUUCAGUCUGUGGUUGGAUUACUUAGUGGUAACGUGGCAUCAAAGGGGCUAACAGGUGACUGGUCUCUCUCUUUAGAGUAUGGCUCAGUCACGGCCGCCUCUGAUUCGUGAGUGAACUAACAUAUUUAUUUACGUUAUGAAAAAACCUAAAUCAGGGUGGCCAGAUAGAGAAAACUCCAUCCUCACGAGUAUACAGUGUAUUGGACGACUGUGCCAUGGGGGGCCUACCCUUUGGAAGCAUAAGGUGAAAAUGUAAACACACAAAAUAAACUAGGCCGGGCUCACUGUCUGCACAGCAGACUCCAGAUGUAUCGUCUGCAUGCAUAGUGCUCAAUUGCUUAUUGUCAAGAGAACUUAAGAAAUCAUUUACGUAGCAUAUGAAUAGGAUUGGACCUAAAAUUGAGCCCUGGGGAACACAAAAAUGUAUGUUUCUUGUACUUGACCUCCUUCUCUCCAGCCUCGCGGUCUGAGGCACCUUGUCACGGUCCGUGCAGCUGCCCCUGUUGGAGGUUUGAGUCCUCCCUCGGGCAUGGGUGUGUCUGUUGUUCAUAGUUAAGUUAGAUCAAGUAGUGUGUAGGCUUAGAGACUGCUGACCUCAGCAGUUUGGUCCCAUUAUACCUUACCACAAAUUUCCAAAGUUCUCCUCCCCAGUAUUUUUCCAUUAGAAUAUAUAAUCUCUGUGCACUGCUGUCUACCCUUUAAAUGUGUUACUAGCAGUUGCAUGAGUUUUCCAGUGACACCACUCUUUCCAAUUUUUGAUAAGAGUACAUUAUGACAUACUCUAUUAAAAGCCCUUGAGAUGUCCAGGAACAUUCCUGCUGCUUGGGAUUUUUCAUUUAUUUUUUCCAGUAUGUGAUGGACAAACUGUACUGCUGCUGACGCGGUGCUUCGACCUCUUCUGAAACCAUGCCAGAAAUCACCUAAUAUGUCAGCAGUGUUGAAAUGUUCCAGGAUUUUUUAAUAUUAUUUUCUCUAUUAGUUUGCUGAAAGUUGAGAUUACGGCAGUGAGUUUGUAGUUCUGUACAUGCUUCAUUUUCCCCUUCUUGCGUAUUGGUUUAGCUACGGCCGAUUUCAACUUGUCAGGGAACAAACCAUCCUUGAAAACACAGUUUAUUAGAUGAACUAGUGGUUUCAGUAGUUAAUGUUUGCAUUUCUUCAAUAGAUAUGGAGAAAUUUCAUCUAAUCCUGCUGAUUUUUUUGUUUCUGAUGCUAUCAAUAAGCUGCAGUAUGUCAUACGUGCUUACUGUGCAUAGUGUUAUGCAGUUAUGUUUGUUACUGGACUCAAAUGUGUGCUGUAUACCCCAUUUCAUACAAGACAUCGUUUUUGACAGUAUCUAUGAAGUAAUUAGUGAAAAUAUUGCUGACUAGAAGGUGAUCAGGGAUAGCAUCAUUAUUCAUAGUUAAUUGUACAUUACUAAUUUUAGUUUCUGUUUCAUUGUUGCUGAUUUUAUUUACAAUUGACCAGCAGGUAUGUGAAACAUUAUCUGAACCUUGUAUCUGUUGGCUGAUUGUCUCUGCUUUUUAAUCUUCCUACUUCAUUGCAAAACUUAUAUUUGUACUGCUUCUAUAGUUCUUUAUGUAACUCUUGAGCUAGUCAGCCUGUGUAAGCUAUACAUGUUUUCCAUUUUUUCCUUCAGAUCUUUUGUUUUAAAAUCUAAUGACACAGGUUUUGAUUUUAAAGGUUGAUUUUUCUGGAUACUCAAAUUUUUUUAGUGGAAUAGCUCUACUUAAGUGCUCAGUCAGAAUUUUUGUGAAUAUGUUUGGUAUAUUGUUGAUCCCCAAUGGUAGUAAUAAUUGAUUCCCAUGAUUCCUGGCUUAAACUAUUUCUUAGUGUAGCAGUGUUGUUUGCAGAUAGUAUUCACCUGUGCUUGUACAUUUUUCUUGGUUUGAAUUUGGUAUAACAUUUUAGCACUAGUGUUUGGCCUAAAUGAUCUGAGAGGUGACCAUUUAUGCUGUCUGUUGAGAUGAUUUGGUCAUAAUUUGUGAUAAUAUGGUUAAUUGAACUACUGUGUGUGUUAGCUGUUCUGUUGGGUACUAGUCCAAGGUCUUCAGUCCCAUAAGAUAUGAUACAAUCUGUAAAAUGUUUGCUUAUCUGACCAUCAUGUAAAGUAUUGAUGUUCAGAUCUCCCAGUAUGACAAGAUUUACACCUCUACAAACUGACAUUAAUUUACUUAAAAGUCCAUCAAGUGAUUGGAAAGCUUCAAAAUUUCCUCAGGGGGAUCUAUAUACGCCUAUGACAUAGAAAGGUAAAGUGCAAAAUAUGAGUUGAAGAACUGCAGUUUCUAAAUCUUUGUCAACACUGUUGUGCGUGUAUUAUAUAAUUGAUUAUUAAUCUGUAUCCUGUCUGUCAAAGUAUAUCUUUUAGAUGAAAAUAUGUUUGUAAUCUGAAAUAUUCAUCUAAUAAAGGAAGAAAUUUAAA